UUUUUCUUCUUCCUCUUCUCUC
rnacentral:sRNA from 1 species